CCGGGCUCUGCCUAGCAGGGUAAAGCUUGGUGAAACGAACUUUGAAGCCUCAGAAGAAAGACCUAGGCAGAUUUGCUGAAGCCUCAAUUCUUCYUAACAGUCUGAGGAUAGCUAGCAACCUACAAGCAGAAACAAAUGCGAAGACCACCUGAUCUUAACAAGCCUUCUCCCUCUGCCAUGGGUAACAGAAGUGGUACAAGA
ensembl:lncRNA